CUUUCCUUUCUGUAUUUCUGUAUAGUCGUUGAUCUGAAAGAUUUAUCAUCAUGCGUUUUUUGCUGACCGUUCUUCUCUUGGUUGCUGUAGUUAUGAUUGUUGCUGAAGCGAGUCGUAGCGGUCAUCGUAAUAGACAUAACAGACCAUCGUUGAGAAACGUCAGCUGUGAAAGGGUAAAGCAUGCCGGUGUUUGUGAGAGAUGCUGUGACCAGUGUAAAAAUGUUAAGUGUUGUGAACCUCUAACUUGUUCUGGGGGUGAAUGUAAAUGCAACGGUGAAGUCUGUGGAGAGAAUCAAACCUGCUCUGGUUCAGGUGGUGUUGCCAUUUGUGUCGAGAAUGAGCCAGAGUGGCCUUUAGAGUAAAUAAAAACUACGAAGAUAAACAAACCAAACAUUCCAGACCCUUUAAAAACAACAACAGAUGUGAUUUUCAACGUACUUCAAGUCGGCAGACAAAUAGUAUACGGUACAGCCUAGAAGAUCAACGCCAUUUCCACUGAUAUUAUGAUAUUGUAAAAAAGAAAAAUAAAUGCUCUGGGGCCUGUUUCCCAAAAUUUUAACUAAGAUAAAAGCCAAAUUAUAGUAAUUUGAUUGGAUAAUAUUAGAUUGAUUUUAGUGCUUAGCCAAUCAAAAUUGAAGUAUCUACUAAAAUUUGGAUUUUAUCUUUAGUUAAAAUUUCGUGAAACAGGUCCCAGAAAUCUAGUUUGAACAAAUGUCUUGGUGCAUCAGAUAUAACGAGGACAAGUUUCAAACGUUCAUCUGGGUCAAGUUGCUUAAAUUUCUUGACUCAUGUUGAUUCACAAUCGGCAAAUCGCAAAUAUUCAAUGCGGCUAAGAAUUCUUGCUUUACAAUAUUUAUUAUAAUAAAUGAA